rnacentral:rRNA from 1 species
UACGUAGGUGGCGAGCGUUGUCCGGAUUUACUGGGCGUAAAGAGCGCGCAGGCGGUCGUGCAAGUCGCGUGUGAAAGCCCCCCGGCUCAACUGGGGAGGGUCACGCGAUACUGCUCGACUCGAAGGCAGGAGAGGGAAGUGGAAUUCCCGGUGUAGUGGUGAAAAUGCGUAGAUAUCGGGAGGAACACCAGUGGCGAAGGCGACUUCCUGGCCUGUUCUUGACGCUGAGGCGCGAAAGCUAGGGGUAGCAAACGGGAUUAGAAA